AUGCAGGGACAGGAGAGCUGCUGGGUGGCCUGGGCAAGGGCAGCGGAGCUGGAGCUCCAGGAGCUGUGUGCAGAUGCUGCUGAGAGCCAGGAGCUGGACGAGCUGUGGGCCAGCCUGCUCGUCUUCAUCACCCUCUUCCUGCUCAGCGUCAGCUACAGCGCCGCCGCCACCCUGUUCAAGGUGCAGUGGGUCCUGGCCACCGUCCUGCGGGAGAAGCCACAGGCCAUCGGAGACUACGCCAACAUCGUGCGGCCGGCAGAAGUGUCCUGUGUUGCAGAGGCCAAAGCCAGCCCCAGUGUCUUCCCGCUGAGCCUCAGCAGCACUGACGAAGCCGGGCACGUGGUCAUCGCCUGCCUGGUCCAGGGCUUCUUCCCGCCAGAGCCCGUGAGUGUGACCUGGAGCCCCAGCAAGGAGGGCGCGUCCGUCAGGAACUUCCCCCCAGUGAAGGACGCUGCUGGGAGCCGGUAUACCAUGAGCAGCCAGCUGACCCUGCCGGCCAACCAGUGCCCUGACGACUCGUCCCUGAAAUGCCAAGUGCAGCACGCCUCCAACCCCAGCAAGUCUGUGUCUGUGCCAUGCAAAGUUGUGGAUAACUGCACUUGUAAGUGUCCCUCGUGUGACGAGCCCCGCCUGUCACUGCACCAGCCCGCCCUCGGGGACCUGCUUCUGGGCUCCAAUGCCAGCCUCACGUGCACGCUGAGCGGCCUGAAAGACCCCAAGGGUGCCUCCUUCACCUGGAAGUCCUCCGGCGGCAAGGACGCCACCCAGAAGAGCCCUGAGCGUGACCCCUGCGGCUGCUACAGCGUGUCCAGCGUGCUGCCAGGCUGUGCGGAGCCGUGGAAACGUGGGGAGACCUUCUCCUGCACGGCCAACCACCCCGAGUCCAAGAGCCCGAUGACCGUCACCAUCAAAAAAGACCUAGGAAACACUUUCCGGCCCCAGGUCCACCUGCUGCCGCCGCCGUCGGAGGAGCUGGCCCUCAACGAGCUGGUGUCGCUGACCUGCUUUGUGAGGGGCUUCAGUCCCAAGGACGUGCUGAUCCGCUGGCUGCAGGAGACCCAGGAGCUGCCCCCAGAGAAGUACAUGACCUGGGAGCCCCUGAAGGAGCCCGGCCAGAGCGUCCCCACCUUCUCCGUGACCAGUGUGCUGAGGGUAGACGCCGAGGCCUGGAAGCAGGGGGACAAGUUCUCCUGCAUGGUGGGCCACGAGGCCCUGCCCCUAUCCUUCACCCAGAAGACUAUCGACCGCCUGGCGGGUAAACCCACCCACGUCAACGUGUCUGUGGUCAUGGCAGAGGUGGAUGGCGUCUGCUACUGA